AGCCUUGUGGGUUUUAAUUUUGAUGCAAACGCGAAGAACCUUUACCUACUCUUGACAUCNACAGAAGCCAGCGGAGACGCAGGUGUGCCUUCGGGAAACUGUAAGACAGGUGCUGCAUGGCUGUCGUCAGCUCGUGUUGUGAAAUGUUGGGUUAAGUCCCGCAACGAGCGCAACCCUUAUCCUUGUUUGCCAGCACUUCGGGUGGGAACUCCAGGGAGACUGCCGGUGAUAAACCGGAGGAAGGUGGGGACGACGUCAAGUCAUCAUGGCCCUUACGAGUAGGGCUACACACGUGCUACAAUGGCGCAUACAGAGGGCGGCCAACUUGCGAAAGUGAGCGAAUCCCAAAAAGUGCGUCGUAGUCCGGAUUGGAGUCUGCAACUCGACUCCAUGAAGUCGGAAUCGCUAGUAAUCGUGGAUCAGAAUGCCACGGUGAAUACGUUCCCGGGCCUUGUACACACCGCCCGUCACACCAUGGGAGUGGGCUGCAAAAGAAGUGGGUAGUUUAACCUUCGGGAGGACGCUCACCACUUUGUGGUUCAUGACUGGGGUGAAGUCGUAACAAGGUAACCG
rnacentral:rRNA from 1 species